GAUGAAGAACGUAGCAAAAUGCGAUAAGUAAUGUGAAUUGCAGAAUUCAGUGAAUCAUCGAAUCUUUGAACGCACAUUGCGCCCGCCAGUAUUCUGGCGGGCAUGCCUGUUCGAGCGUCAUUUCAACCCUCAAGCACAGCUUGGUGUUGGGACUCGCGUUAAUUCGCGUUCCUCAAAUUGAUUGGCGGUCACGUCGAGCUUCCAUAGCGUAGUAGUAAAACCCUCGUUACUGGUAAUCGUCGCGGCCACGCCGUUAAACCCCAACUUCUGAAUGUUGACCUCGGAUCAGGUAGGAAUACCCGCUGAACUAAAGCAUAUCAAUAAGCGGAGGA
rnacentral:misc_RNA from 1 species